rnacentral:rRNA from 1 species
CCUACGGGAGGCAGCAGUGGGGAAUAUUGGACAAUGGGCGCAAGCCUGAUCCAGCCAUACCGCGUGGGUGAAGAAGGCCUUCGGGUUGUAAAGCCCUUUUGUUGGGAAAGAAAAGCAGUCGAUUAAUACUCGGUUGUUCUGACGGUACCCAAAGAAUAAGCACCGGCUAACUUCGUGCCAGCAGCCGCGGUAAUACGAAGGGUGCAAGCGUUACUCGGAAUUACUGGGCGUAAAGCGUGCGUAGGUGGUUGUUUAAGUCUGUUGUGAAAGCCCUGGGCUCAACCUGGGAAUUGCAGUGGAAACUGGACGACUAGAGUGUGGUAGAGGGUAGUGGAAUUCCCGGUGUAGCAGUGAAAUGCGUAGAGAUCGGGAGGAACAUCCAUGGCGAAGGCAGCUACCUGAACCAACACUGACACUGAGGCACGAAAGCGUGGGGAGCAAACAGGAUUAGAUACCCUGGUAGUCCACGCCCUAAACGAUGCGAACUGGAUGUUGGGUGCAAUUUGGCACGCAGUAUCGAAGCUAACGCGUUAAGUUCGCCGCCUGGGGAGUACGGUCGCAAGACUGAAACUCAAAGGAAUUGACGG